rnacentral:rRNA from 1 species
UCUUUGCCUUUGGAGAGAAAAAGGGGURSRGUUUCCGUAGGUGAACCUGCGGAAGGAUCAUUA